AGGGGGGGGUUGGUUUACUUGCAUUAGUCACCCAACAUGGUCCAAAACAGAUGGGUAGCCUACCUAAAUUAGUAAGUCCAGGUCUAAGCACGCAGCCAAGGUGCAUGCACAAUUUACAAAUGAGCUGAAUCAAAACCUCAAUAGGCCAUAUUUGGGAUUUUGAUUAAUAGGCACUGAUAGGUGCAUGCUACACCUGGCCGGUGCCAUCACUUUCUAUGAUGAGGACGAGUAAUACCUUCGCCACUUGGGCAUCUCUACGGAAAAUAUAAGUAGCCCUAUCAGAUAACAUCUAAGGACCUUUUUGGCCAACAAAUACUCCACGCUAACUUAAGCAUCGGAGAGCCUUAAUUACCGGAAACACCGGUGAGAUUUUGUGCAGGCACUAUGAGUAUAAUUGAUCCAUGCUCGAUUAAUCGGACUGAUCACAUCACAUGUCACUCUAAAAUCCAAGAUCGUGAUUUAGAAAAAAUAUAUAGUGUUACGACUUACUAUUUUUUCUAAAUCAGAAUUGACACAGAAUCACACAAAUAAAAGGUGCUGACGAUAUAAAUGUUCCUAAGGCAUAUCUGGCUGUUUUAAUCCAACGAGCAUUGAUAUCCUAACCAUUGUCCCAGAAUUUGACAUGUAAAUUAGAGAUACAUAGACCCAGCCCAUAUGGGCAUUGGUGUAGCAUGGCCAUUU
rnacentral:lncRNA from 1 species